rnacentral:rRNA from 1 species
CACGUAGGGGGCAAGCGUUGUCCGGAUUUAUUGGGCGUAAAGAGCUCGUAGGCGGCUUAGUAAGUCGGGUGUGAAACCUCCAGGCUCAACCUGGAGACGCCACCCGAUACUGCUGUGGCUAGAGUCCGGUAGGGGAGCGUGGAAUUCCUGGUGUAGCGGUGAAAUGCGCAGAUAUCAGGAGGAACAACCAGCGGCGAAGGCGGCGCCUCUGGGCCGGAACUGACGCUGAGGAGCGAAAGCGUGGGGAGCAAACAGG